rfam:Nematostella vectensis strain CH2 x CH6 NEMVEscaffold_1858_Cont39052, whole genome shotgun sequence.
GGACACAGCGAAGACUUGCUUUCGGAGCUACAUGACUGGACGUCGCGAAUUGUUGUGGCAUGCUAAACGUUUAGUAUGAAUCAGCAGUUCCUUCGUUCCAACAACAUUACGUUGGCUCUGGGAAAAGUCCCCGGACAUAAGGCAGAGAGUGCCAGUCGUGAAGACUCCAGUCUCCGCGGAUUUUCAAUCUGGCGAAGAAGCAGCGGCCGAGCCACGAGGACCCGAGGAGAUGUUUCGUCGCAUCAAAGUCAUGCAAGUGGAUUCCUCUAGAGUUCCCUGGACUCUGUGGGAUUUCUACACGAUGGGGCUUACUCUCGCUGUGUC